UACGUAGGGGUGCAAGCGUUAUCCGGAAUUAUUGGGCGUAAAGAGCUCGUAGGCGGUUUGUCGCGUCUGCUGUGAAACUGGAGGCUCAACCUCCAGCCUGCAGUGGGUACGGGCAGACUAGAGUGCGGUAGGGGAGAUUGGAAUUCCUGGUGGUAGCGGUGGAAUGCGCAGAUAUCAGGAGGAACACCGAUGGCGAAGGCAGAUCUCUGGGCCGUAACUGACGCUGAGGAGCGAAAGCAUGGGGAGCGAACAGG
rnacentral:rRNA from 1 species